rnacentral:rRNA from 1 species
UAUUGGACAAUGGGGGCAACCCUGAUCCAGCAAUGCCGCGUGAGUGAUGAAGGCCUUAGGGUUGUAAAGCUCUUUCGACGGGGAAGAUGAUGACGGUACCCGUAGAAGAAGCCCCGGCUAACUUCGUGCCAGCAGCCGCGGUAAUACGAAGGGGGCUAGCGUUGUUCGGAUUUACUGGGCGUAAAGGGCGCGUAGGCGGUGCAAUAAGUCAGGCGUGAAAGCCCCGGGCUCAACCCGGGAAUUGCGCUUGAUACUGUUGCGCUUGAAUCCAGGAGAGGAUGGCGGAAUUCCCAGUGUAGAGGUGAAAUUCGUAAAUAUUGGGAAGAACACCAGUGGCGAAGGCGGCCAUCUGGCCUGGAAUUGACGCUGAGGCGCGAAAGCGUGGGGAGCAAACAGG